rnacentral:rRNA from 1 species
AGCGAACGCUGGCGGCAGGCCUAACACAUGCAAGUCGAGCGGCAGCGCGGGGGCAACCCUGGCGGCGAGCGGCGGACGGGUGAGGAAUUCGUCGGAAUCUGCCUUUUUGUGGGGGAUAACGUAGGGAAACUUACGCUAAUACCGCAUACGUCCUACGGGAGAAAGUGGGGGACCGCAAGGCCUCACGCAGAAAGAUGAGCCGACGACCGAUUAGCUAGUUGGUUGGGUAAAGGCCCACCAAGGCGACGAUCGGUAGCUGGUCUGAGAGGAUGAUCAGCCACACGGGGACUGAGACACGGCCCAGACUCCGACGGGAGGCAGAAGUGGGGAAUAUUGGACAAUGGGCGCAAGCCUGAUCCAGCCAUGCCGCGUGUGUGAAGAAGGCCUUCGGGUUGUAAAGCACUUUUGUCCGGAAAGAAAUCCCUGGAGCUAAUACCUUCGGGGGAUGACGGUACCGGAAGAAUAAGCACCGGCUAACUUCGUG